rnacentral:tRNA from 1 species
CAGGACGUAGCUAUAAACCCAAGCAUUCAGCUUACACCUGAAAGAUACCUGCCACCCACCAGGUCGUCCUGA